GACGAACGCUGGCGGCGUGCUUAACACAUGCAAGUCGAACGGAAAGGCCCUGCUUUUGUGGGGUGCUCGAGUGGCGAACGGGUGAGUAACACGUGAGUAACCUGCCCUUGACUUUGGGAUAACUUCAGGAAACUGGGGCUAAUACCGGAUAGGAGCUCCUGCUGCAUGGUGGGGGUUGGAAAGUUUCGGCGGUUGGGGAUGGACUCGCGGCUUAUCAGCUUGUUGGUGGGGUAGUGGCUUACCAAGGCUUUGACGGGUAGCCGGCCUGAGAGGGUGACCGGCCACAUUGGGACUGAGAUACGGCCCAGACUCCUACGGGAGGCAGCAGUGGCGAAUAUUGCACAAUGGGCGGAAGCCUGAUGCAGCAACGCCGCGUGCGGGAUGACGGCCUUCGGGUUGUACACCGCUUUCGCCUGUGACGAAGCGUGAGUGACGGUAAUGGGUAAAGAAGCACCGGCUAACUACGUG
rnacentral:rRNA from 1 species